rnacentral:rRNA from 1 species
UACGGAGGGGGCUAGCGUUAAUCGGAAUUACUGGGCGUAAAGCGUACGUAGGCGGAUUGUUAAGUGAGGGGUGAAAUCCCGAGGCUCAACCUCGGAACUGCCUUUCAUACUGGCAAUCUUGAGUCCGGGAGAGGUGAGUGGAACUCCUAGUGUAGAGGUGAAAUUCGUAGAUAUUAGGAAGAACACCAGUGGCGAAGGCGGCUCACUGGCCCGGAACUGACGCUGAGGUACGAAAGCGUGGGGAGCAAACAGGG